UAGCCGUAAACGAUACUCGCUAGGUGUCGGCCACGGUGCGACCGUUGUCGGUGCCGUAGGGAAGCCGUGAAGCGAGCCACCUGGGAAGUACGGCCGCAAGGCUGAAACCUAAAGGAAUUGGCGGGGGAGCACCACAACGGGUGGAGCUUGCGGUUUAAUUGGAUUCAACGCCGGAAAUCUUACCGGGACCGACAGCAACAUGAAGGCCAGGCUGAAGACUUUGCCGGAUUAGCUGAGAGGAGGUGCAUGGCGUAGUCGUGU
rnacentral:rRNA from 1 species